rnacentral:rRNA from 1 species
AUACGUAGGGGGCGAGCGUUGUCCGGAAUGACUGGGCGUAAAGGGCGUGUAGGCGGCGGUGUAAGUCUGGAGUGAAGGUCCCGCAUUCAAUGUGGGAAUUGCUUUGGAUACUGCAGUGCUAGAGUGCGGAAGAGGUAAGUGGAAUUCCCAGUGUAGCGGUGAAAUGCGUAGAGAUUGGGAAGAACACCGGUGGCGAAGGCGCCUUGCUGGACUGUGGCUGACGCUCAGAUGCGAAAGCCAGGGUAGCGAACGGGAUUAGAUACCCCGUUAGUCCUGGCCGUAAACGAUGGGUACUAGGUGUGGGAGGUAUCGACUCCUUCCGUGCCGGAGUUAACGCAAUAAGUACCCCGCCUGGGGAGUACGGCCGCAAGGCUUAAACUCAAAGGAAUUGACGGGG